GGGGCGAGGAAGCUGCCGGGGAAGUGAGAUGACGGUCGCGGGGGUGCCCAGGAGCCCUGAAAAACUUGUGCCCUGGGCACGGCAAAAUCUGCAGGUUGCAGAAAGUCUCAACUGAUCCUGGCAUACCCCGAGGUGCCGACUUUUAGAGCUGAAGAUGCAAGAAAGAUUGGGAUCCUGCGAUGCACCGAACCUGUCUCUCGAAGUGUGUGCGCCCUGCUUCCUGUGUUAAACAAUUUGCUACAAGGUCACACAAUUUUAACUAGAAGACUGAGAUGUGAACCUGGGUGGUCUGAUGUGAACACCACUGUCUGGUAAUCCCAACGCUCUGCUGCUUUGCGACAGAGAAUGUUUUAGGGAACACACAGACUAUGUACUUAACCAAAUCUGGAAUUUGCCGUAAGAUAUUAAUCAGAGAAGUAAUGAUACUUGCAUUUUAAAAUGAAGGCUUUGGCAGUAGGAGAAGGGUGAAUAAGAGGCUUAAGAGCCUGAAGGGAGAAAUGCCAAUGAUACAAUUAUCCAGCAAGAAAUAAUCAGAAGUUGAAGUAAGGCAAUGAUGGUAGGGAUGGAAUAUAAAAAAGCUGUACCCCUAUCUGACAUCUUUAUUGGGGGAACCCGCCCCCAAUAUUUCAACGUAGGUUCUUUCUAUUUUCCAUAAGUGUUGGCCAGCUGAGAAAUAAAGAGAGACAGUAUAAAGAGAGGAAUUUUACAGCUGAGCCACCGGGGGUGACAUCACAUAUCGGUAGGACCAUGAUGCCCGCCUGAGUCUCAGACCAGCAAGUUUUUAUUAAGGGUUUCAAAAGGGGAGGGGGUGUAAGAACAGGGAGUAGGUACAAAAGUACAAAGAUCACAUGCUUCAAAAGGCAAAAAGACCUUACUACUAGUAAGGGUCUAACAAAGAUCACAUGCUUCUGAGGGAACAGGACAAAGGGCAAAAGCAGAACUACUUAUAAGAGUCCAACAAAGAUCACAAGGCAAAGGGCAAAAGCAGAGCUACUGAUAAGGGUCUAUGUUCAGCAGUGCACAUAUUGUCUUAAUAAACAUCUUAAAUAACAGAAAACAGGGUUCAAGAGCAGAGAACUGGUGUGACCACAAAUUUACCAGGGCGGAGUUUUUCCCCACCCUAGUAAGCCUGAGGGUACUGCAGGAGACCAGGGCGUAUCUCAGUCCUUAUCUCAACCGCGUAAGACAGACAUUCCCAGAGCGGCUGUUUAUAGACCUCCCCACAGGAAUGCAUUCCUUUCCCAGGGUAUUAAUAUUUAUAUUCCUUGCUAGUAAAAGAAUUUAGCAAUAUCUCUCCUACUUGCACAUCCAUUUAUAGGCUCUCUGCAAGAAGAAAAAUAUGGCUGUUUUUGCCCAACCCCACAGGCAGUCAGACCUUAUGGUUGUCUUCCUUUGUUCCCUAAAAAUUGCUGUUAUUCUGUUCUUAUUCAAGGUGCACUGAUUUCAUAUUGUUCAAACACAGAUGUUUUACAAUCAACUUGUACAGUUAACACAAUUAUCACAGUGGUCCUGAGGUGAUGUACAUCCUCAGCUUACGAAGAUAACAGGAUUAAGAGAUUAAAGUAAAGACAGGCAUAAGAAAUUAUAAAAGUAUUAUUUGGGAACUGAUAAAUGUCCAUGAAAUCUUCACAAUUUAUGUUCCUCUGCCGUGGCUCCAGCCGGUCCCUCCGUUCGGGGUCCCUGACUUCCCGCAACACAUCUUAGAUUCUUAUUACAGAAACUUAACAUUCCCAGAAGAAGCCUCGCCUUUUUAUUUCUAAUUUUGGCUAUGAAUUCCUAGCUAUGACCCAUUUGCCCCAUUCUAACUAUUUCCAGUGGUAGGGGGAAAAGAACAAGACAGUAAUAUAAUGUAGAGAUGAGCUAAUUGUGGUAAUAAUAAGCACUUGUGUAGUGCUUUCAUAUACAUGAUCUCUCUUAAUGUUCAUAACAAAGCUGUGAGGUUGGUGCUCUUAUCUCUCUUUGGUUAAUGAAGGACUGAGGCCUAGGGAAUUGGAAGUGACCUGCCAAGAUGACAGAACAAUAAAGUGGCAGAGUUGGGUUAAAUCCUUGGUUAUUUUAAUGACAAAUGACAGACCAAUAAUUGAUUCCUCAAUAAAACAGUGGAAGUCA
rnacentral:lncRNA from 1 species